CAAAAACAUAGCUAGAUGUAGUUAUAUUUAGUGCUUCCUGCUCAAUGAUAUAUUUAAUAGCCGCAGUACCUUGACUGUGCAAAGGUAGCAUAAUCAAUUGGCUUAUAAUUGAAGUCUAGAAUGAAAGGAUAUACGGGUAAUUACUGUAUCUGAUAUUUAUCGCUAAAUUAGUUUUCAAGUGCAAAUACUUGUAAAUAACUGUUAGACGAGAAGACCCUAGAAAUUUGUAUUAAUGUUUCGUUGGGGCAACGUAGUAGGAAAACCUACAGUAAAAGACAAGAAAAAAAUUUGAGAGAAAAAAUUACUCUAGGGAUAACAGCAUAAUUUAUAAAAGUUUGUGACCUCGAUGUUGGAUUUGGGAAUUAUAGUUCARAARACUUUUAAUACCGCUCUGUUCGAGCAUAAUAC
rnacentral:rRNA from 1 species